CAGCAGCCGCGGGAAUACAGAGGGUGCGAGCGUUAAUCGGAUUUACUGGGCGUAAAGCGUGCGUAGGCGGCUUUUUAAGUCGGAUGUGAAAUCCCUGAGCUUAACUUAGGAAUUGCAUUCGAUACUGGGAAGCUAGAGUAUGGGAGAGGAUGGUAGAAUUCCAGGUGUAGCGGUAAAAUGCGUAGAGAUCUGGAGGAAUACCGAUGGCGAAGGCAGCCAUCUGGCCUAAUACUGACGCUGAGGUACGAAAGCAUGGGGAGCAAACAGGAUUAGAUACCCCGGUAGUCCCUGUCUCUUAUAA
rnacentral:rRNA from 1 species